rnacentral:rRNA from 1 species
UACGUAGGGUGCAAGCGUUAAUCGGAAUUACUGGGCGUAAAGCGUGCGCAGGCGGUUGUGCAAGAAAGAUGUGAAAUCCCCGGGCUUAACCUGGGAAUGGCAUUUGUGACUGCAUAGCUAGAGUGUGUCAGAGGGGGGUAGAAUUCCACGUGUAGCAGUGAAAUGCGUAGAUAUGUGGAGGAAUACCGAUGGCGAAGGCAGCCCCCUGGGAUAACACUGACGCUCAUGCACGAAAGCGUGGGGAGCAAACAGG